AUGGAACAGAGGAUGCAUACAAAAUGCAAUCAGAAACCUGCCUCUGUGCCUCGUUUUUUCUUCUACAUGACUUCCACCUGCAGGUCGGCCUGGAUACUGCGCUUUGUGGCAAAACCAGCUGGAACAGCACGUAGGUCCUACUUUUCCAGCAGAAGGCUGGAAGAACUGUGGCUUAUUUUGGAGGACCUUACUCUGGCUUUCUAAUAAGAACAAACAGGCAGACUCUGCAGAGAUACUGACAUUCUUCCAUG
rnacentral:lncRNA from 1 species